GACGAACGCUGGCGGCGUGCUUAACACAUGCAAGUCGAACGGAAAGGCCAGUGCUUGCACUGGUACUCGAGUGGCGAACGGGUGAGUAACACGUGGGUGAUCUGCCUUGCACUCUGGGAUAAGCUUGGGAAACUGGGUCUAAUACCGGAUAGGAACCGUCUUUAGUGUGGUGGUUGGAAAGUUUUUUCGGUGCAAGAUGAGCUCGCGGCCUAUCAGCUUGUUGGUGGGGUAAUGGCCUACCAAGGCGUCGACGGGUAGCCGGCCUGAGAGGGUGUACGGCCACAUUGGGACUGAGAUACGGCCCAGACUCCUACGGGAGGCAGCAGUGGGGAAUAUUGCACAAUGGGCGGAAGCCUGAUGCAGCGACGCCGCAUGGGGGAUGACGGCCUUCGGGUUGUAAACUCCUUUCGACAGGGACGAAGCGCAAGUGACGGUACCUGUAUAAGAAGCACCGGCUAACUACGUGCCAGCAGCCGCGGUAAUACGUAGGGUGCGAGCGUUGUCCGGAAUUACUGGGCGUAAAGAGCUCGUAGGUGGUUUGUCGCGUCGUCUGUGAAAUUCCGGGGCUUAACUCCGGGCGUGCAGGCGAUACGGGCAUAACUUGAGUGCUGUAGGGGAGACUGGAAUUCCUGGUGUAGCGGUGAAAUGCGCAGAUAUCAGGAGGAACACCGAUGGCGAAGGCAGGUCUCUGGGCAGUUACUGACGCUGAGGAGCGAAAGCAUGGGUAGCGAACAGGAUUAGAUACCCUGGUAGUCCAUGCCGUAAACGGUGGGCGCUAGGUGUAGGGGGCUUCCACGCCUUCUGUGCCGUAGCUAACGCAUUAAGCGCCCCGCCUGGGGAGUACGGCCGCAAGGCUAAAACUCAAAGGAAUUGACGGGGGCCCGCACAAGCGGCGGAGCAUGUGGAUUAAUUCGAUGCAACGCGAAGAACCUUACCUGGGCUUGACAUACACCAGAUCGCUGCAGAGAUGUAGUUUCCCUUGUGGUUGGUGUACAGGUGGUGCAUGGUUGUCGUCAGCUCGUGUCGUGAGAUGUUGGGUUAAGUCCCGCAACGAGCGCAACCCUUGUCUUAUGUUGCCAGCAUUUGGUUGGGGACUCAUGAGAGACUGCCGGGGUUAACUCGGAGGAAGGUGGGGAUGACGUCAAAUCAUCAUGCCCCUUAUGUCCAGGGCUUCACACAUGCUACAAUGGUCGGUACAACACGCAGCGACACUGUGAGGUGGAGCGAAUCGCUGAAAGCCGGUCUUAGUUCGGAUUGGGGUCUGCAACUCGACCCCAUGAAGUCGGAGUCGCUAGUAAUCGUAGAUCAGCAAUGCUGCGGUGAAUACGUUCCCGGGCCU
rnacentral:rRNA from 1 species